AUGAGUUUGGUGAUGGCUCUGAUUGAACACUGUCCAAAUACUUGACACAUGCUAAUCGAACGUUUAAUUUUGGCCUAAGAAAGGGGUUUCAUCGUGGCUUAAGCUAAGGGGUUUAUUGUGGCUUAAGCUAAGGUUUAAUCUUUGACUUAAGCGGGUGUUUUAGGGGAACUUGUGCCCCUAAAACCUCUUAAUUAAAAGUGGUGUACAGGUGAGUAUAAUAUUUUUUCGCUUAACUUAAAGUGAAGGCAAAUCCUUCAUAUUGCAAAAGGAUAUCUUAGGCACCUGUUGAAAGGGGCCUACUUAUAUUAUAUCCGCUUUAAGAGGAUGAGAAAAGUUUCAGAGAUAGGUAGUUGUUAAGGUCAUGGCUUAACAAGCCAAUAAUUCUCUUAGUCGAAGCUGAAAAGGCUGAUCGACCACAUUGGGAAUGAAAAAAUCCCAAGGCAAAUAGGUACAGCAGUGAGGAAUCUUGGUCAAUGGGCCCACGCCUGAACUGGUAACUUGGAGGAAUGAGGGGUCAACUUUGCAAAUGGAUGAGUGAUCGUUAGAAGAUCCUUAGUCCCCUGGUCUUCUUGACACAUGAGGUAUAUACUUCUAGUCCAUAUUGGGGGGAGACUCCACGUCGAUUUAUCGAGUAAAAUUCUGUAUACAUAUUGAUAAUGACAAUAUGUACAUUUGUCUUGACUAAUUACGUGCCAGCAGUCGCGGCAAUACGUAAGAGACUAGUGUUAAUCAUCAUAAAUAGGUUUAAAGGGUACUCAGACGGAAAAAUUCGCCCAAAUAUAGGGGACAAUUUUUCUAGAGUUUUAUGUAAGAAGGUCGUACUCUAGAGUGGAGAGAUAAAAUUCUGUGAUACCUAGGGGACGGGUAAAGGCGAAGGCAAUCUUUUAUGUAAAAACUGACGUCGAAGGACGAAGGCAAAGGGAACAAAAAGGAUUAGAUACCCCAGUAGUCUUUGCAGACAAUUAUGAAUGCCAUAGGUUAGAUUUUUAAUUUAGUCUAUAAAUGAAAGUGUAAGCAUUUCACCUCAAGAGUAAGGCGGCAACGCAGGAACUGAAAUCACUAGACCGUUUCUGACACCAGCAAUGAAGUAUGUUAUUUAAUUCGGUGACCCACGAAAAACCUUACCACAAUUUGAA
rnacentral:rRNA from 2 species